UACAGAGGUCUCAAGCGUUGUUCGGAUUCAUUGGGCGUAAAGGGUGUGUAGGUGGCGCCGUAAGUCGGGUGUGAAAUUUCGGAGCUUAACUCCGAAACUGCAUUCGAUACUGCGGUGCUUGAGGACUGGAGAGGAGACUGGAAUUCAUGGUGUAGCAGUGAAAUGCGUAGAGAUCAUGAGGAAGACCAGUGGCGAAGGCGGUCUCUGGACAGUUCCUGACACUGAGACACGAAGGCCAGGGAGCAAACGGG
rnacentral:rRNA from 1 species